AUUGAACGCUGGCGGCAGGCUUAACACAUGCAAGUCGAGCGAGCGGCGGACGGGUGAGUAAUGUAUGGGGACUGCCCGAUAGAGGGGGAUAACUACUGGAAACGGUGGCUAAUACCGCAUACUAUCGGAUAACCCAUAUGGGAUUAGCUAGUGGGUGGGGUAAAGGCUCACCUAGGCGACGAUCCCUAGCUGGUCUGAGAGGAUGACCAGCCACACGGGGACUGAGACACGGCCCAGACUCCUACGGAGGCAGCAGUGGGGAAUAUUGGACAAUGGGCGAAAGCCUGAUGCAGCCAUGCCGCGUGUAUGAAGAAGGCCUUAGGGUUGUAAAGUACUUUCGGCAGGGAGGCGGUACCCGCAGAAGAAGCACCGGCUAACUCCGUGCCAGCAGCCGCGGUAAUUC
rnacentral:rRNA from 1 species